GAGAGAGAGAGAGAGAUUGAAAAUUAUUAAAUGAAACUAUAGUUUGCUAUCUGCACUCAUAUACGCACCGAAUGUUACUUUCUUUUCUAUGAUAUUUUGUAAACCUGCUUAGAGUUAAAGUACUAAAGUUUUAUGUUGGAUUCUACAAUAUUUUGUAAAACUACACUUGUUCAGGGAGAUGAUUUCUGUUAAUGAAGACAGAGACUAACUGGGUCUUGCAGAAACACUUGAGUUGAAAUGAUAAUUGAUAUGGUUGAAGUUUUUGCUUUUUGAGAAAUAGUGGCUUUUUGGCUGAAGCAAAUUCUUCUUCCUUUUAUCACUCUACCUUGGGUAAUAUUUAUUGGUGCAAGAAAGUUGGGCAUUUGGUCCAAGUGAACUCUCCUUUCUUUUACCCUGGUUCCUAAGCAAAAUUUAUAGUUGCUAUCAAGUUCUAGGUAAUGGCAAAUGGUAUUUCUGUGCAGGCAGAAAGCUAUGACUUGUUGAUCUCAUGCAUACAUGUUUGUCUUGGGAAUAGAGGGUCUUGCUAGAAAGGGGGAAAAAGCCAAGCACAUUCUAUUGAUGAUGUUCAAUCUAUCAAUCCUACCUCCCCAAUAUGCUAAUAAACUUCAAUUAGUAUUCCAUUGGACUCACAUGCUUUACCCAUUUUCAUAUUCUCUAAUGCUACCUUGAUUUCUGAUGUUCUAAUCCUCUUAGUGUAAUUAGCAUUCUUUUUUCCAAUAUAAUACUAAGAUCUGCUAGGUUUUCUAUGCAGUUAAAAUUAAAGAGUCCAUCAAAAUAGCUUAUACCAUUAAAUUUCACGCCCCUCUCCUCCAUACAAAAGAUAUAUGUGACCUGAAACCAGUUAACCUUCCUGGUUAACUUGAUAAUCUAUAGGAUAAAAUCUAAUGUUUAAAAAUUUUUAUCUUUUGUCUAUCCAAUUCAAAAAUUCUCCUCACAUUACAAAUUUACUGUAUUUUGAAUUUUCUAUAUAGAUCCUCAACUUGGUAGUUAAAAUCUAACAUAGAAUAUAUCAUACAAUUUCAUAAUUAGUGCUGUUGAUUGAAUAUCAAGCAACUCAACUCAUCCCUUUCGUGCAGUCUGAUUAAUAAUAAUUAGAGAUAGAUAGGAAGAUAACUUAAAAAUAAACUGAUUUGUUUAUGUGCCCAUUAAGGGCUGUGGUAUUAUUGUAUAAAUUUCCUUGCCUUUAACAGGGGAAAUGUCCAAUUUUUGGGCAACAAACUUUGCUGAAUUUUGGCAUAAUUUUAAAAAUUACAUGUACCAAAUCAUCCUUACUAGGAGGUGUUUAGAGCCUUUGAGUGCUGUAAAAAUUAAAUGGUAGUAACUAUAAGUAUAUUAGUUGGCAGUUUAUAGAAUUUUAAUCAAGCGUUGUUAUAGAUGAUUGCCAUAAUAGUAUUGAUGCAGAACCAAUAGGUAUUGGGUGUUUGGGAGUGAGAAACAAAUUCUCAAAUGAAAGAGAAACACAUUCUCAAUUUAUUAGCUCAAAACAAUAGUAAAAAAUCACAAUAAAACAUCUAAUUAUGCAGAGAUCCUAGCAUGAUUUUAAAUAAGGGUUGCUAAAUAUAGGUGUUUGAGGAGAAGGGGAAGGGAAGGGGGUGUGGUUGGUGGGGGGUAUUGUUAGCCAUGUCAAUAACAAAAAAAAAAAAAAAAUGGUAUUGGUAAUGGUCAUUACGUCUAUUGCAUAACGGUAAUUGCCAUUAUUGACUGUUAAGUUAUGGUAACGAUCAUUAUUCAUGUGAACACAAGGUCUUUCUUUCUGGUUUCUACACUUCCCCUUCUAUUUCUUUCAAUUUGUUUUUUUAUCAUUUACAAAUAUUCAUUACUUGAGCUAAGAUCAUCAAUUAGU
rnacentral:misc_RNA from 1 species